rnacentral:rRNA from 1 species
CGGNNGAAAAGAAACCAACCGGGAUUGCCUCAGUAACGGCGAGUGAAGCGGCAAGAGCUCAAAUUUGAAAGCUGGCUCCUUCGGGGUCCGCAUUGUAAUUUGCAGAGGAUGCUUCGGGUGCGGCCCCUGUCUAAGUGCCCUGGAACGGGCCGUCAGAGAGGGUGAGAAUCCCGUCUGGGAUGGGGUGUCCGCGCCCGUGUGAAGCUCCUUCGACGAGUCGAGUUGUUUGGGAAUGCAGCUCUAAAUGGGUGGUAAAUUUCAUCUAAAGCUAAAUACUGGCCGGAGACCGAUAGCGCACAAGUAGAGUGAUCGAAAGAUGAAAAGCACUUUGAAAAGAGAGUUAAAAAGCACGUGAAAUUGUUGAAAGGGAAGCGCUUGCGACCAGACUCGCCUCCAGGGUUCAGCCGGCAUUCGUGCCGGUGUACUUCCCUGGGGGCGGGCCAGCGUCGGUUUGGGCGGCCGGUCAAAGGCUCCCGGAAUGUAGUGCCCUCCGGGGCACCUUAUAGCCGGGAGUGCAAUGCGGCCAGCCUGGACCGAGGAACGCGCUUCGGCACGGACGCUGGCAUAAUGGUCGUAAACGACCCGUCUUGAAACACGGACCAAGGAGUCUAACAUCUACGCGAGUGUUCGGGUGUCAAACCCGUACGCGCAGUGAAAGCGAACGGAGGUGGGAGCCCCCUCGUGGGGCGCACCAUCGACCGAUCCUGAAGUCUUCGGAUGGAUUUGAGUAAGAGCGUAAAUGUGGGGACCCGAAAGAUGGUGAACUAUGCCUGAAUAGGGCGAAGCCAGAGGAAACUCUGGUGGAGGCUCGCAGCGGUUCUGACGUGCAAAUCGAUCGUCAAAUUUGGGUAUAGGGGCGAAAGACUAAUCGAACCAUCUAGUAGC